AUUGAACGCUGGCGGAAUGCUUUACACAUGCAAGUCGAACGGCAGCACGGGGGCAACCCUGGUGGCGAGUGGCGAACGGGUGAGUAAUACAUCGGAACGUGCCCGGUCGUGGGGGAUAACGUAGCGAAAGUUACGCUAAUACCGCACACGAUCUGAGGAUGAAAGCGGGGGACCUUCGGGCCUCGCGCGAUCGGAGCGGCCGAUGUCAGAUUAGGUAGUUGGUGGGGUAAAGGCCUACCAAGCCGACGAUCUGUAGCUGGUCUGAGAGGACGACCAGCCACACUGGAACUGAGACAGGGCCCAGACGCCUACGGGAGGCAGCAGUGGGGAAUUUUGGACAAUGGGCGCAAGCCUGAUCCAGCCAUUCCGCGUGCAGGACGAAGGCCUUCGGGUUGUAAACUGCUUUUGUAUGGAACGAAAAGGCUCUGGCUAAUACCUGGGGCUCAUGACGGUACCGUAAGAAUAAGCACCGGCUAACUACGUG
rnacentral:rRNA from 1 species